GCGGAUGUAGUUUAGUGGCAGAGCAUCAGCUUCCCAAGCUGAGUAUGCGGGUUCGAUUCCCGUCAUCCGCUCCA
rnacentral:tRNA from 1 species